GCCCAGACUCCUACGGGAGGCAGCAGUGGGGGAUAUUGCACAAUGGGGGGAACCCUGAUGCAGCGACGCCGCGUGAGUGAAGAAGUACUUCGUUAUGUAAAGCUCUAUCAGCAGGGAAGAAUAAAUGACGGUACCUGAGUAAGAAGCCCCGGCUAACUACGUGCCAGCAGCCGCGGUAAUACGUAGGGGGCAAGCGUUAUCCGGAUUUACUGGGUGUAAAGGGAGCGUAGACGGCGAUGCAAGCCAGAUGUGAAAGCCCGCGGCUCAACUGCGGUAGUGCAUUUGGAACUGUAUGGCUGGAGUGCAGGAGAGGCAGGCGGAAUUCCUAGUGUAGCGGUGAAAUGCGUAGAUAUUAGGAGGAACACCAGUGGCGAAGGCGGCCUGCUGGACUGUAACUGACGUUGAGGCUCGAAAGCGUGGGGAGCAAACAGGAUUAGAUACCCCGGUA
rnacentral:rRNA from 1 species